AGUGAACGCUGGCGGUAGGCCUAACACAUGCAUGUCGAACGGCAGCACAGGAGAGCUUGCUCUCUAGGUGGCGAGUGGCGGACGGGUGAGGAAUACAUCGGAAUCUGCCCAGUCGUGGGGGAUAACGUAGGGAAACUUACGCUAAUACCGCAUACGACCUUCGGGUGAAAGAGGGGGAUCGCAAGACCUCUCGCGAUUGGAUGAGCCGAUGUCGGAUUAGCUAGUUAGCGGGGUAAUGGCCCACCAAGGCGACGAUCCGUAGCUGGUCUGAGAGGAUGAUCAGCCACACUGGAACUGAGACACGGUCCAGACUCCUACGGGAGGCAGCAGUGGGGAAUAUUGGACAAUGGGCGCAAGCCUGAUCCAGCCAUACCGCGUGGGUGAAGAAGGCCUUCGGGUUGUAAAGCCCUUUUGUUGGGAAAGAAAUCUUUCAGGCUAAUACCCUGGGAGGAUGACGGUACCCAAAGAAUAAGCACCGGCUAACUUCGUG
rnacentral:rRNA from 1 species